CUGCGCGCGCAGCAAAGAUGUCAGCGCCCUCGUCCCCGCGCCCCUGCAGCUAGAGAGGCCCACGGGCAGCCCUCCCCGGGCCAGGUGUCCAGGGACGCAGUGCUCCGCAAAUCCGAGGGCUCCAGGCUGUCCCCCGCCGGAACUGUAGGAGAGCCCAGGCGCGUCCUCCUUUCCUUCUCGGGGUGCGACCUCGGGGAGGGUCGUGGGCCAGGCUGUGGGGACCCUCCUUCCUCCCCAGGCCGCACGGGAUACCCCGCAGCCCCCAGAGGGCGGCGGCCUGGCGCCCGCCUAUGAGGAGUGACCCCGCGACUUCCGCAGCCCCCCUGAGGGGGCUCGGGGGGCCCCUGCGGAGCAGCGAGCCCGUGUGCGCCACCCCGGCCCCGUCGGCGGCCGUGCUUCUGCUGGAGGAGGCGGCCGACCUGUUGGUGGUGCACCUGGACUUCCGCGCCGCGCUGCGCACCUGCGAACGCGCCUGGCAGGGCUUGGCCGCGGAGCCGGUGGGCGCCUCCUCGGAGGUGAAAUGCUCGCUGUGUGUUGUGGGGAUCCAGGCCCUGGCAGAAAUGGACCGGUGGCGGGAAGUCCUGUCGUGGGUCCUUCAGUAUUACCAGGUUCCUGAGAAGCUGCCCCCCAAAGUCCUGGAACUGUGUGUUCUUUUAUACAGCAAGAUGCGGGAGCCUGGAGCUGUGCUGGACACGGUCAGUGCUUGGCUCCAAGACCCUGACAACCAGGGCCUUCCAGAGUACAGAGCCUUAGCAGAACUUCACUUGCAGCGAGUGCUGCUUCCUCUGGGCUGCUUGUCGGAGGCUGAAGAGCUAGUGGUGGGCUCUGCAGCCUUCAGUGAGGAGCAGCGGCUGGACGCACUUCAGGCCAUUAGCACGGCACGGCAACAGCAGAAACAUGGACAGUUCGGCCCUGAGGAGAACCAGACGCUAAACCAGGAAGGCUCCUCCUCACACAAGUUCCUGUCACUGCUGAUGUUGCUUCGCCAGCUUUGGGAUUCUGCAGUCAGCCACUUCUUUUCCCUGCCCUUCAGAAAGAGCCUGCUGGCUGCCCUGCUCCUCUGCCUCUUGGUGGUGAGGUUUGAUCUGGGAGGAGUUGGUGGACCUGAGCCUCGCCCACUAGAAGAAGAGACCAGUCUUGGAGAAAGUCCACUCUGCCCUGUUGACCCUGAAUGUUCAGGCAUGAACUCUGAGGAGAGCCUCAGCGUAAAAAAAGAAAAACUUCAUCAUAAUGUGUAAGAAAGUUAUGUUAAUUUAAAACAUUUUAAGUUGUAGAAGUACAAUUACAAUAGAAGAAAUACAUAUUUUAGAGAAUAUGGAAAAUAGAGAAAAGUAUAAAGGAGAAAACAGAAAUCACCCAUAAGUCUGCUACUGUAAUCGUUUUACUUAGUCUUUCUCUAGAUGCAAAUUUGCAUGUUGUUAAGUAUUCUUUUGUUUUCUUUCUAGUUUGUUAUAACUGACAUAGAGCACUGUAUAAGUUUAAGCUGUACAGCAUAAUGAUUUGACUUACAUACAUCAUGAAAUGAUCGCCACAAUAUGUGUAGUAAACAUUUGUCAUUUCAUAUAGAUAAAAAAUUUUAAAAACAGAAAAAAAUUUUUUCCUUGUGAUGAGAACUCUUAGGACUUACUCUCUUAACUUUUGUGUAUGACAUAUGGCAGUGUUAAUGUUUAUCAUGUUGUACAUUACAUUCCUAAUACUUAUUUAUCUUAUAACUAGAAAUACCGUUUGACUGCCUUCUUCCAAUUCCCCAUUCCCCAUAAGUAUUCUUUAAAACCUGGCUUUAGGGACUUCCCUGGUGGUCCAGUGGUUAGGACUCUGCACUUUCACUGCUGAGGGCCUGGAUUCCACCCCUAGUCAGGGAACUAAGUUGCCACAGUGUGGCCAAAAAAAAAAAAGGUCUUAAAAGCUUUAUGUGGCUAAAUAAUAUUCCAACCUGUAGGAACUUCCAUAAUUGAUUUUACAAUACCCUAUUGUCGAACAUUUUGAUGAUUUCUUACUAUGUUUUCUACUGUGCUCUUUCCUAAGGGCUAAUUCCUCAGACCUGUGGGCACUGGGCCAAAGGUUAGGUGCUCACUGUGGACUUUUCUGCAUGUUACUCUGUGUGAGUUUUGAGCUAAUCUCUACUUACGAAUUUAGACUUAGGAUCGUAUAACUUUCAAAACUGAAAGGAAAACUGGAAACCCUUGUUUCAGUCCCUUCAUUUUCUUUUUCUUUUGUUUUUGGUUGAAAAACCUAUGAACCAGAGAGAAGAGCGACUGCCCCAGGAUCACACAGACGGCUUGUCUGUUGCUUUCGAUUUAGCCUGAGAUAUUGCCUGGGUCCCACUGCCCUUUUUCUGCUUCUAGAGCCGUUUCCGCACAGCUGAACCCCAAGUAGGAGUUUCCUCUGAACAGUUCUGUUAGCCUCAGGAAAGCUGAGGGGAGUUUGUGCACAUUCCUGUCCACCCUCUGACCUUUUACUUUGUUUAAUUUUGACUCAGUAAAAAUUGUAAAAUUUUUUGUGGUUCUUGUGAGUCUUUCAGUCUCGUAUUAAACCCUGGUCUUCUGAGUGGUGAUGGCAAGGGGCCGCUUGAGCUUCUUCCAUCAGGGAGCCCUGGCUGUGGUCCCACCCUUGGGACAGCCUUGACUCAGUGCAGAGGUGGUGAGAACCCAGCAGUGGGCUGCAGUUAGAACUUGGCAGAGAGGAUAUAAAGAGGGUGGAUUGUAAAAGCUCUCUCAAGAGUAACAUAUUUCUUCUUUUUUUUGGCCAUGGCUUGCGGCAUGUGGGAUCUUAGUUCCCCAACCAGGAAUCACCAGGGAUUGAACUGUGCCCCCUGCAUUGGAAGGCAGAGUCUUAACCACUGGACUGUCAGGGAAGUCCCAGUAACAUAUUUCUUCUUAAGAAAGAAAAAAAAAUCAAUUAAAAAUCAGUAAUUCAAAUAAGGAAAAACAAACAAACCAAAACAAACAGCCAACUCAGCUCUCAUGGAUUUUACUUUAAUUUUCAAUGUAAUUAACUUAUGAUAAAAAUAGGUAAUACUGUUGCUUGACUCCAAGUUUAAAAGGUACAAAACGGAACGUGGUGAAAAGUCUCUUCCCAAAUUCAUCUCCCGAGAGGCAGCCACCAUUACCAGUUUUUUGUGUAUUAAAAAGUUAGAUUAAAACAUAAUAAAUUUGAAUCUUUUUCUCAGCAAACUUAAGGUCACUGUAAUCCAAGUGAAGAAAAUACAUCCCAGAGUCUAUAUCCUGGAAGAAGGGAAAUUCUUUACUGUUGGGAGAGGAGGAAGGGAAGCAGCAUGGGUUGCUCCCCAGCAUCCCCCACUUCCCUGCCCUUCCUCUACAAGCUGGCUCAGAUCUUCCAUCGGAUCCGUGAGGCCGUGGCUUCUCCUCUCUGCCGGCUUCCUGUCCACGACUGAGGGGACUUCCCACUCACCUCGACCCCCUGCUUCCCAAGGCUGCCGGACGUGCAGUGUCACUCGUCCACAGCAGCCGUUUCCUGCAGCUGGAUGGGCCCUGCCAGUGCGGCCAGCCUAGUUCCAGGAGGAGCUGACCCAGCCGGGCACUAUGUCUUGCUGCCUGAGUGCCCUCCCCUUUGUGUCCCACUUUAGCUGGCCGGGCAGGUGGUGUGGAAAUAAGAUGCACAGCCCUGCAGAAGCCCCUCGUACAGGAGAGGUUUGGGAAAGGAGAGUGCUUCAUCCUUGAAAUGUUCCAUCUUCCUGCAGAGGCAGGGGGUUGAUGUUUCAGGCCGGGGUGUUCGUGAGUCUGAAGGUUCAGAACAAGGUCCUUGGCCUCUCAUUUGCUUGGAACACUUACCUCUGCAGGUUGCCCCCAGCCCAGGGCUUCCCCGGGCAGGGUGAGGGCGCCACAGUCUGGUCUGGUUUAUCACUGCCUGUCCCCGAGGUGUGCAGUGGGCUCCCUCUCUGCUCAGACCAGACAUGGCUUCCUGAGCCCCUGGUGCUCUUCUCACUGGGUAAGGGGAGCUGGCCUGGUGCCUCCUGGGCUUCAGCUCAAUUUUCCAGGUUGUCGGUGGCCAAGCUGGGCUCUGUUACACCCGUGUCUCUGCCCUCUCUCCCUCCUCUCAGCCCCUCCCUCUGCCCUGCGGUAGUUGCACUUUGUCCAAGGGCAGUUUCACCAGGUUCUGCCUGCAUCCUUGCUUUUGUGGUACACACAGUCGCUGCUUCCCCCCGCCUGUGCCCUGUUAUUCUAGUUAUGUUUUACCAUUUGUAUAAGGCAGAAGUGUUUCUGUUCCUGUGACCUUGAAAAGUAGGCCAGCCCCAAAGGCUGACGAGCUGAAAAUGGAGUGGGAUAAUUAGGUGAGCUGGAGGGAUGCAUGGAGGGGAUUGGGUGGAGGGGAGGCUUUGAAGGCAGUGAACGAUUUUAUUUCUUGUCAGGGGGAGGAGACAUUGGGCCCUAGUGGUUGAGCUGCUGAAAUGUUUCAGUGCUUUUUGUCAGUGGCCACAAGAAUCCUAGGUGUUUCUGUGCAAGGACACGUAGGCCACGUCUGUGCUGGCGGGUGCUGGAAGGCUCCUAGAAGGCCAGGAACAUGGAAGGGCUUAUCAGCUUUGCACUGAGACUCUCAGGAGCUGCUGGUCAACAGCUUCUCUUUCAUAAAAUGGGUGGAGUAAGUAAACUUCAGGCCUGGGAAGUUAAGUGCUAGGGUGUGGUCCACCAAAGCUAAGAGUUAGGAGCCCUGCAGAGAGGAAGAGAGGCGGCUGCACUUUGAGAUCUCUCUUUCAGAAUAAUUUUUAAAAUCUGGUCCUGUACACACCCUGAAUAAAACUCUUUAAUGGCUUCCCCUGGCCCAAGGGUAGCCAGGUUCUUGUGGAACUGCGCCACUCACACCUCUUUGCCCUUUGCACCUGCUGAUCCCUCUGGAGGCCCAGCUCUCCCUUUGCCUGGUAAACCCUGUCAAACUUCCAGACUUACUCAAGGGUUACCUCUGGGAAUCCUUUCCUGGUAUCCCCUGCUCCAGGCCUCUAUUUCAUGUCCUUUCUGUGGUGGUGGCCACACAGCCUUGUGAUUGUGGAAUUUUGUGGCCUCUCUGAAGCUGGGGAGUAUGGCUUGUUGCAGUGUCAAGUCAAGGGUAGAUCCAUGGCCUCCCACUCGCUGGGUUUGUGACUGUUGGAAAGUGAUUUAACUUCCUCUGUAAGUUUGUUCUUCUCUCACAGGGACUUUCAGAGGAGUAAAUGAGCCUCUAGUGCAGUGUUAGCACAUUCCUGCUCCGGUAAGAGCUCCCAGGAGAGGUAGCUGUGUCCACAUCGCCUUGCAGAGGGCUGGAGGUUAGAAUGUGUCCAGAGGCAUUUAAAAGAAUGAGCGGAUGUAACCGACAUGACAGGAGGCCUCUGCUUUGGUGUGUGUGUGGGUUUGUCUUGUGGAAGCCUUGACUUUCCAGCCUUUUCUCUUGCCCCUGAAGCCCCUGUGUGGCCCUGCGCUAGGCCUCGAGGGUCUCUGCUUCCUGUCCGUCUUGAGCUCUGCAGUCUUGUCUGGCAUCCAGCCCCAGCUGCCCUCUUAGUCAGACAAGGAGUGCGGACCCGCUGUUUGGGUGGCUCGGGCCUUUGCUGAGGAUGCAGCUGCUUCUCGGGCCAGUCCUCAGCUCUGGGCUUGACAAGGUCUGAAGCGAAGGGAGAGCCACCUUGUCACAGUACACCUGUGCUGACCAGUGAGGUCACCACUGGCCAUAGGUGGCCUUUGAGCCCUUGAAGUGUGGCUGGUCCAUAUGCAGAUGUUCUGUAAAUGUAAAAUACACACUGAUUUCAAACACAAAACUAAGAAGGUGGAAACUUGUUAAUUUUUAUAUUGAUUGCAUGUUAACAUAAUCUUUUGGAUAUAUUGGAUUAAAUAAAAUCUAUUACUAAAGUUAA